CUGAAUCCGUUUACCUAUAAUCUUACAUAUCCUUGGCUAUAAAGGAAGCAGGCCACGUGUAGUUCGGAGGUGAGUGAGAUGAUAGAUCAUGCCGAGAUGGAGAGCCAACCGAGGUUUCGUUCCGCGGUCCUAUUAUUACAUCAAAAUCAAAAGAAAUGAAAAAGACUAGCUAAGCUUGUAACCUACGAGUUAGAAGAUUCAUAUCUAUAAGUCUUCUGAAGCUUUAUCUUGAGUCUUGAGUGGUUCUCCAUGUAGACUUUAGAUUUCAACCUCGACGCUUGUUAACUGCAGGCGCCAGCUCUUUUUACUUCUUCUUUUCGAAUUAAGACCAGACAUGUAGUGCUUGAGACCUCAACCAUGUCUUGAGAAGUUCACAUCUUUCAUCAACUUCUGCAUUUGGAUUCACUUUUUGCCUUUCUCUUUUUUUUGGAUCGUGACUAAUCACCUUGGAUUGUUGGCUCCCUUUCUCAUUGCGAGCUUCUUUUGUUGCAGACUUGAAUUGCGUUCUGAAGUGAAUUCCCUUAUUCUCCAGGUAGGCUUGCAAUUUCCAAUACUUGAACUGUCUUCCUUCGGGACUUGGACUACCUUCCUUAAAAUCUUGCUAUCUUCAUUUGAAACUUGAAUUGUUUUCCUUUACUUUCCAAGUGGGUGCCUGCUUGCUGAACUUGAGCCAUCUUCCAUUAAACAUUGCUACCUUCCCUUUGUUCUCCAGGUAGGCGCCUGAUUACAAAACUUUAGUUGUAUUCCCUUUGUUCUUCAGGUGGGCUCCUGAUUGCCAAAACUUGAACUGCAUACCCUUAUUCUCCAAGUGGGCGCGUGACUGCCAAAACUUGAACUGUAUUCCCUUGUUCUCCAAGUGGGCUCCUGACUGCCAACAACUUGAGUUGUAUCCCUUUGUUCUACAGGUGGGGCGCCUGAUUGCCAAUGACUUGAACUGUAUUCCCUUAUUCUCCAGGUGGACGGCUGACUGCCAUAACAUGAGUUGUAUUCCCUUGUUCUCUAGGUUGGCUCCUGAUUGCCAACAACUUCAACUGUAUUUCCUUGUUCUCCAGGUGGGCGCCUGACUGCCAAAACUUGAACUGUAUUCCCUUGUUCUCCAGGUGGGCUCCUAACUUCCAACAACUUGAACUGUAUUCCUUGUUCUCUAGGUGGGCUCCUGAUUUCCAACAACUUGAACUGUAUUCCCUUGUUCUCCAGGUGGGCGCCUGAUUUCCAACGACUUCAAUUGUAUUCCCUUGUUCUCUAGGUGGGUGCCUGACUGCCAAAAACUUGAACUGUAUUCCCUUGUUCUCCAGGUGAGCUCCUGAUUGCCAACAACUUGAACUGUAUUCCCUUGUUCUCUAGGUGGGCGCCUGACUGCCAAAAACUUGAAUUGUAUUCCCCGAAACUGCUUCCUUUGAACCUAAUUACAACAACGCAAACAAAAGAAAUUUUCCUGGCCCAAUUUGGUGCUGGCGCAUCUGUGAGUGUUAUCUGAAUCAUGUUACCAAAUAUUACUAAGAUUUUAAAGCUAGAUCCCAUUUAUCCAAUAGGGUCUUCAAAACUCUUAAUUAAACAAUCGUUUUAAAACUAAGUUAUAUCUUCUAAAGGUAUUACUUCCACUAUAUCUUGUUAUUUAAGAAACUAUUAAAGAUACAUCCUAUUAUCCAGGAGGGUCCUGAAAAUCCAAAUCAAAUUUCAUCCUAAGAGUGACCAUUCUUUACGGCUAAAUUAUACUUUCCUACAGCAAAAGUUACCCUAAAAAUUAUUAUCUAAUGAAAAUCUUAAAGCUAGGUCCCAUUGUUCAGGAGAGUCCUGAAAACUCCUAAUUUAAUCCUAUCUUAAAUAUGCAAACUUUGAAGUCAACUUGUAUUCCUUUGGGGUACAUUUAUGCUAACUUAUGCUACUCAUGAUUAUUUUGAAUUUCAAAAUAGGUGCCUUUUUUAGGAGGGUCCUGAAAUCUUCUAAUCGGAUUCUAUCUCAAACAUGAAAACUUUGAAGCCAACUUAUAUUCCU
rnacentral:lncRNA from 1 species